GUAACUUAAUAAGCUAGUUGGUUAGGCAGUCAGUCAGCUAGUUAGUUAAUUAGUUAGCAAGCUAGCUCGUUUGUUAGUUAGCUAGUCAGUUUGUUAGUUAGUUAAUUGGCUAGUUAGCCAGUCAGUCAGAUAGCUAGCAAGCUAGUUAGUUAGUUAGCUAGUAAGUCAGUCAGUUAGUCAAACGUGAUGAGUUCAUGGCCUUAGUCAACUUACUAUAGCUGAUGAGUCUUCAAGCCCAAACACACCUCAAAAAAGUAUUUAUUUAUUGAGCUAGUCAGUCAUUUAAUUAGUUAGCUAUCUAGUUAUUUUUUAUUUAAGUAGGUAGUGAGCUAGUUAGUUAGUUACUUAGUUAAGUGGGUAGUGAGCUAGCUAGUUAUUUUUUUAUUUAAGUAGGUAGUGAGCUAGCUAGUUAUUUUUUUAUUUAAGUAGGUAGUGAGCUAGCUAGUUAGUUAUUUAGUUAAGUAGGUAGUGAGCUAGCUAGUUAUUUUUUCAUUUAAGUAGGUAGUGAGCUAGCUAGUUAUUUUUUUAUUUAAGUAGGUAGUGAGCUAGCUAGUUAGUUAUUUAGUUAAGUAGGUAGUGAGCUAGCUAGUUAUUUUUUCAUUUAAGUAGGUAGUGAGCUAGCUAGUUAGUUAUUUAGUUAAGUAGGUAGUGAGCUAGCUAGUUAUUUUUUCAUUUAAGUAGGUAGUGAGCUAGCUAGUUAUUUUUUAUUUAAGUAGGUAGUGAGCUAGCUAGUUAGUUA